ensembl:lncRNA
AUGAUGCAUAAGUCCCAGAAUUCUUUGGUCUUCUCCCUGAUUCUCCUGGUCAAGUUUGCCCAGGGAGCAGCGUUUGAAUGGCAGGAUCAGGGGUCUGCUUGCCUGCUGGGCCGGAUGGACACAUUCUCACUAAGAACUCCUGUGAGGACUCAGCCAGCUCAAGGUUGCUCCCACAACUCCAUUCCUGCAGAUGCAUUGGAGAUGACUGCUGGCCUGCGGGGUUGGAGAGGCGUGGUCUCUCACAAAUCACCCAGUGCGAUGGGGAUAGCCUCCUCCCUGUCUGCUGUCCCGAGUUUCCAUCCAGACAGGACAUGCAGCCGCUAUGGAGAGGAAGAAGAACUAAUCAGAAGGGAGUAUUUGGAUUUUAACAUGAAACAAUAA